AUGGAGAAAAAGGCAUUAGCUAAAUCCACCACAGUGGGGCUAAGAGGCAGUGGAGGACUGACUGAAGAGGACAGAAUUUAUGUUUUCAAGGGGGAUGAAGUCAUUGAGUAUGAUGGUGAGUUUUCUGCUGACACCCUGGUGGAGUCUCUGCUUGAUGUCCUGGAGGACCCUGUGGAAUUGAUUGAGGGUGAAUGAAAGCUGCAGGCAUUUGAGAAUAUUGAAGAUGAUAACAAACUCAUUGGCUACUUCAAGAACAAGGACUCAGAGCAUUACAAAGCCUACGAGGAUGCAGUGGAGGAGUUCCAUCCCUACAUCCCCUUCUUCACCACCUUCGACAGCAAGGUGGCAAAGAAGCUGACCCUAAAGCUAAAUGAAAUUGACUUCUACAAGGCCUUCAUGGAAGAGCCUGUGACCAUCCCAGAUAAGCCCAACAGUGAAGAGGAGAUCAUCAACUUCGUGGAGGCACACAAAAGAUCAACCCUGAGGAAGCUGAAGCCUGAGAGUAUGUACGAGACUUGGGAGGAAGAUGUGGAUGGAAUCCAUAUUGUGGCCUUUGCAGAGGAAGCUGAUACUGAUGGCUAUGAGUUCUUAGAGACACUCAAGGCCGUGGCCCAAGAUAACACGGACAAUCCUGACCUAAGCAUCAUCUGGAUUGACCCUGAUGACUUCCCCCUGCUGGUUCCAUACUGGGAGAAGACAUUUAACAUUGACUUGUCAGCCCCAUAAAUAGGAGUCAUCAGUGUUACUGACGCGGACAGCAUAUAGAUGGAAAUGGAUGAUGAGGAGGACCUGCCCUCUGCUGAGAAGCUGGAGGAAUGGCUGGAGGAUGUGCUGGAGGGUGAGAUCAACACAGAGGACGAUGACGAUGACGACGACAAUGACAACGAUGAUGACAACAACGACUAG
rnacentral:misc_RNA from 1 species